rnacentral:lncRNA from 1 species
CAUUUAACAUAUAAGAUUAACAACAGUGAGAGGAGAUGUCUAAGGCACUGCCUAGGCGUGCUCCCAGGUGUUAGCCAAAGGAAAAUGCUGGCAGGAGGAUGUCUUCCUUGUUGCAAUGCUGCCACAAGCUCCUUCUGGGACUAUCCCUUUGCUUUCUGCCAAAGGAAGCAGAUGGGAACCCAAGAACAUGGGAAGGAAAAGGUGCCUGAGGUCAGAUACUGUGGGAUGGUAUCUGGAAGCCAGGUCUUCCUCCUUCAACAUCAGGAAAAUAGAAUGUGGGAUUGUAGCUGGUGCUCCUCCUCUCUUGUUAGUAAAUCCCCGACGCUCCUCAGUGCGUGUUGCUAUUCCCGUGGCCGUUUCUGGUGUCACAUUCUGAGGGCCUUUCCCUUGCUGCUGUGUUGCCUGGCAGCUCUGACUGAAACCAGCUCAGCACUGAAGGCCAGAAGGAGCUCCCACUGAAGCAUCGCUUCAUUUUCUCCUCCCAGAGUAAUUCACACCACCGGUUCUGGCCUUAGUAAGGAGGAAAGCCGCUUCCCUUCUCACUUGGGAUGGGCAAAGAGAGCAAGAAAGCACUGGGGAAAAGUCAUUUUUCUAAACCCACUGUUCUACCUAUCAUACAGGUGCCUCCAAGGUCAGACACGUGCUGCUCUGUCCUAAGCAAACAGGCUUAUAUCUUGUCAACCCUCCUCUUGCUCCGUCCUGUCAUUGCUUACACAAAUGUAGACACCUACUAACGCAAGUAACUCUUUAAACAGGAGAAUUCAGCUCAGAUGACUUGUUUGUACUGGUUUUGUGCAGAGGGGGUCACUGGUUUGCGUCAAGGUUCCCCGUGAUAAAUGCCUUUUUCCUUCCCUUGUUUUCCUGCACGCUGUGUUUCCGUGAGAACUGGGUAAUUCCGCGGCGUUUGCAUGAUGUGGCAACUGGUUUUGCUCUGCUUCAGCCUGUGCUCUCCAACCCUCACAAUAACACCUGGUAAAUACAUAACCAGCCCUCCUGGAAGAAAACCCCAGCACACACGUACUGUUCCUGUGAUCCGAGAUUAGCCUCUGAGGUUAAAGUGCUGCUGGCAACAUUGGCUUCAGGAAAGAGCGAUAGUAUUUUUGUAGAGUAACUUAUGGAAUGUUCAUAUCUCUACACUGUCUUUCCGUAGCAGUGUAAUGUAUCUAAGUGAAUAGUUUCCCAAUAAAUACUGGUUUUGAUGCCCAA